rnacentral:rRNA from 1 species
CAGCAGCCGCGGGAAUACAGAGGGUGCAAGCGUUAAUCGGAAUUACUGGGCGUAAAGCGCGCGUAGGUGGUUUGUUAAGUUGGAUGUGAAAGCCCCGGGCUCAACCUGGGAACUGCAUCCAAAACUGGCAAGCUAGAGUACGGUAGAGGGUGGUGGAAUUUCCUGUGUAGCGGUGAAAUGCGUAGAUAUAGGAAGGAACACCAGUGGCGAAGGCGACCACCUGGACUGAUACUGACACUGAGGUGCGAAAGCGUGGGGAGCAAACAGGAUUAGAGACCCCAGUAGUCCCUGUCUCUUAUAC